CCGGCACGGGUGAGUAACGCGUAUGCAACUUACCUAUCAGAGGGGGAUAACCCGGCGAAAGUCGGACUAAUACCGCAUGAAGCAGGGGCCCCGCAUGGGGAUAUUUGCUAAAGAUUCAUCGCUGAUAGAUAGGCAUGCGUUCCAUUAGGCAGUUGGCGGGGUAACGGCCCACCAAGCCGACGAUGGAUAGGGGUUCUGAGAGGAAGGUCCCCCACAUUGGUACUGAGACACGGACCAA
rnacentral:rRNA from 1 species